rnacentral:lncRNA from 1 species
ACCAUGGUGGGUCCGACCCCAAAAUCAUUGGGGUUGGAGUAGGAGGGGGUCCAGAAGACCCCAAAGGUGGGGAUGUGUGGGUUGGGAGCCAGAGAGGACACCACGAUGAGUCCGACCCCAAAAGACCCCAAAAGUUCCCCCCAGUUUUGCCUUUUUUCCUCUCCCAUUUCCUCCCUUUUUCCUCUCCCAUUUCCUCCCUUUUUCCUCUCCCAUUUCCUCCCUUUUUCCUCUCCCAUUUCCUCCCUUUUCCCCUUCCAUUU